AGGUCCACAGGACUCUCGCCGCACGCCACACCCGCCCGCGUCCCCAGCUCCCCCCCCCCCCCCCCCCCCCCCCCCCCCCCCCCGCCUCAGCCCACCGAAGAGCAUACCCUAGAUUUUCCUCGAUUCUCUAUUUCCGGACUGGUAGCAAGCAGAGAAGAGAUGAGGAGGCCCCAACCGCGCCCCGAGGCCUUAAAUACUUAGGGGGGGCGGAGAGUCGGGAGGAGUCUGAAGGCCAGGGUGCGGCCGCUCCCGAGUAGGAAAAGGAAGAGAGUAAGGCCAGGUACCCAUGGGAACUUUAAUGUUUUUGUGCUGACCUUGCUGCUACAACAUACUCAAGCUGAAGAAGUGGAUGGAUUUUGUGGUUUUUUUUUUUCCUUUAUAAAUGCAAAGCUUAUUAUU
rnacentral:lncRNA from 1 species